rnacentral:rRNA from 1 species
UACGGAGGGUGCGAGCGUUGUUCGGAAUCACUGGGCGUAAAGCGCGUGUAGGCGGCCUGCUAAGUCUGAUGUGAAAGCCCGAGGCUCACCCUCGGAAGGGCAUUGGAAACUGGCAGACUGGAGUCCCGGAGAGGAGGGUGGAAUUCCUGGUGUAGCGGUGAAAUGCGUAGAUAUCGGGAAGAACACCCGUGGCGAAGGCGGCUCUCUGGGACGGUACUGACGCUGAGACGCGAAAGCGUGGGGAGCGAACAGG